UCUACUGCUGCUGCUGGAACC
rnacentral:snRNA from 1 species